rnacentral:lncRNA from 1 species
AAGGGAAAAAAACAAAUAUUUCUAAAAAUAAAUUUUGAUACAUUUCAAAUCGAGUUUACAAAGCAAUUUUGACCAGAUGCAUUAUAAAACCCAUGAAUCAGAAAAUCAGUUACAUUUUGCAAUCAAUUUGACCUAAAAAAGUUUCCUAAUCUAAAUCAAAUCCUAAGCUAUAUAAACCUAAGACUAAAAAUUGAAAGCGGACAAAAUGUUUUUUUUAAAAAAAUCUAAGAGCAAUACACAACAACACCAAAUCUCCCUCACUAGAGCUCCAAAUUUAUGAUACUUAGGGAUUUCACAUUGAAACCCUAAGUGUUCGAGUUAAGCCUUUAUCCUUUGCCUGCAAAAUAGAAAGAGAGGGAGAUCAGAGAGAGACAGAGAAAGCAAAAAUAACAAAGGCUAAAGAGGAGGAGAGGGACCCAACUUAAAACAGUCAUUGUAGGAAUCAAUUGGUAGCCUCGCCCUUUUAUUCUUAACUAGAACAUGUGAUUCUAUGUUUAUGUUUUUUAUUUUUAUUAUACUGCUAAGGGUCGAGUAUUUUUUUAGGUUGUGUUGGAUUUAGUUGAGGUUUGAGGUUAAACAUAAGGGGUCAUAGAUUUUAGGGUUUGAGAUUGAAGUUUGAUCUUUGUUUAAGGGGGGGAGUUAUGUUCGAGGGUUGUUGGUAUAUGAAUUAGGGGUGUUGUUCAUGGUUGUUGGGAAAUUUUUAGGGUUCUUCCUGAAGGUUAGGGUUCAUCUGCAAAAGGUUAGGGUUUUUGGAAAUUUGGGUUAGGGUUCUUAAAUUUGGUUGAAAGGUUCUAGUGAAUCUUCAUCGGAAACCAUACAUAUAUGUUGGUUUAUCGGGUGGUUUGUGGUUUGAGGGG